rnacentral:lncRNA from 1 species
CCAACGCAUCCAUCCCCAGAGGAACAAGCGAGGAUCUCAGAGCGCGACCUGGACAGGCUCUCACAAAAGUCACCGCGUUUGUGUAGGUAACUAAGGCCUACCGAAACCAGUCAGCCCUAAGUGCACACAGGAGAACCAUGGAGUUGGAGGAAAAGGAUGAUCUGCAAGUAUCCUGCAAAUAUCUCACCCAGUUAUUGCUGGGAUUCCCCAGGAACAUUACAUGGGAACAUAUCGCCAUAUAGGCUCAAUGGGUGCAGCAAGAAAUAAAAGAUGAGAAUUAUUAGGAUAUGUGGGAUGCUCUGGAAGCAUUCUAGCUGACGUAAUAGACAUUUGCGGAAAAGUCUUGGGGAUCCUGAAUUCAUUAAACAGCUUCUUCUUUUGCC